UACGAAGGGAGCUAGCGUUGCUCGGAAUUACUGGGCGUAAAGCGCACGUAGGCGGUCUUUUAAGUCGGGGGUGAAAUCCUGGAGCUCAACUCCAGAACUGCCUUCGAUACUGGCGAUCUUGAGUCCGGAAGAGGUGAGUGGAACUCCGUAGUGUAGAGGUGGAAUUCGUAGAUAUUAGGAAGAACACCAGUGGCGAAGGCGGCUCACUGGUCCGGUACUGACGCUGAGGUGCGAAAGCGUGGGGAGCAAACAGGGAUUAAGAAACCCCGGUGAG
rnacentral:rRNA from 1 species